ACAUCCAGAGAAUUUAGCAGAGAUGCUUUAGUGCCUUCGGGAACUCUGAGACAGGUGCUGCAUGGCUGUCGUCAGCUCGUGUUGUGAAAUGUUGGGUUAAGUCCCGNAACGAGCGCAACCCUUAUCCUUUGUUGCCAGCACGUAAUGGUGGGAACUCAAAAGGAGGACUGCCGGUGAUAAACCGGAGGAAGGUGGGGAUGACGUCAAGUCAUCAUGGCCCUUACGAGUAGGGCUACACACGUGCUACAAUGGCGCAUACAAAGAGAAGCGACCUCGCGAGAGCAAGCGGACCUCAUAAAGUGCGUCGUAGUCCGGAUUGGAGUCUGCAACUCGACUCCAUGAAGUCGGAAUCGCUAGUAAUCGUAAAUCAGAAUGUUACGGUGAAUACGUUCCCGGGCCUUGUACACACCGCCCGUCACACCAUGGGAGUGGGUUGCAAAAGAAGUAGAUAGCUUAACCUUCGGGAGGGCGUUUACCACUUUGUGAUUCAUGACUGGGGUGAAGUCGUAACAAGGUAAGCGUAGUGCU
rnacentral:rRNA from 1 species